GCCUCCGUGGCCUAAUGGUUAUGACGCUCGCCUUAACAGCGAGAGGUCGCAGGUUCGAAUCCCGCCAGAGGCU
rnacentral:tRNA from 1 species